GACGGAGGGCGCAAGCGUUGUUCGGAAUCACUGGGCGUAAAGCGCACGUAGGCGGACUCUUAAGUCGGUGGUGAAAUCCUGGAGCUCAACUCCAGAACUGCCUUCGAUACUGAGAGUCUCGAGUCCGAGAGAGGUGAGUGGAACUGCGAGUGUAGAGGUGAAAUUCGUAGAUAUUCGCAAGAACACCAGUGGCGAAGGCGGCUCACUGGCUCGGUACUGACGCUGAGGUGCGAAAGCGUGGGGAGCAAACAGG
rnacentral:rRNA from 1 species